rnacentral:lncRNA from 10 species
ACCCAACCCAGCUCCCAAGCAACCCAAAGGGCCAGUCUCACUCCCACCAUGCCCACCCCCACAACAGCACCAAGUCUGUUUCCAGGUAGUGGGCAAACAGGAAGUUACCCCAGGCUACCCACCUCCCAGCUGCAAAACCCUUGAACCUGCUUGCCUCAGUAACCAUGGCAAGUCCAGAUGGCUGCCUUAGGAUCAGAUGUAAACCUUGGAGAAACCAGCUGUGGCCAGUAUGUCAAGUUUAAGCAGACAAAUGAAGGUGACCUGUGGUGGGAAUACACAUUUUGAAACUGAAAAGAGAUGGUAUGUGGGGAUGUACGGAGAACUUGUUGGAGUCUCUGUUGUGGACAACGCUUUAUGUGGUUUCAAGCUUCACAUACAAAAAAAAAGAAGGAAAGUGGCAGCACCCAAAAAAGAUCAAAACAAGGCAAGGAUCUCUGCUCUCGACCCAUCUAUUCAAUAUUGAACUAGAGGUCCCAGAUGGUGCAAUAAGAAAAUAACUCCAACUCUUUCAAAAGAGCUCAUUUAGUGGCAAUUCUUCCUAUUUCAUCUGUUACGGCUAGUGAGUUCUGCGCUUACUGAAGCAUCUCCUGACCCUAGAGACAAUUGCAACCAUGGCAAGAAUACCAACAAUGUUAUGCUAGAUCCCACGGCAAAAGGGUAACAAAAUUGGAUUUUAUGACUCUUUAUCAUUGAAUCACCCUCAACAACACCAAUUCUGGGAAGUUCUGAUAAUACAUUUCUGACUGCCUGACCUCAUAAUGUACAAUAGAUUCCCUUUCUA